rnacentral:misc_RNA from 1 species
CAACCCUUAAGCCUAGCUUAGUGUUGGGAGACUGCCUAAUACGCAGCUCCUCAAAACCAGUGGCAGAGUUUUUACGUACUCUGAGCGCAGUAAUUCUUUUUCUCGCUUUUGAACACGUCUAGACGAUAGCCAAAAACCGCUUGCUUCGGCAGCACUUUUUAAU